CCCAACUAUCCCUAUUAAUCAUUACAUCGAUCCUAGAAACCAACAAAAUAGAAUGCGAUGUCCUAUUUCAUUAUUCCAUGCUAAUGUAUUCAAGCGUUAGCCUGCUUUAAACACUCUAAUUUUUUCAAGGUAACAGUCCUAAUUCCCCAAAACAGCAAAUUAAUGACAUUAAGGUUCCUUAGAAGGUGAGAACCAAUGAGGCCAGUACAUACCGAGGGCAUGACCGACCCAUUGAUCCCGAGGUUCAACUACGAGCUUUUUAACUGCAACAACUUUAAUAUACGCUAUUGGAGCUGGAAUUACCGCGGCUGCUGGCACCAGACUUGCCCUCCAA
rnacentral:misc_RNA from 1 species